rnacentral:tRNA from 1 species
GGAGAGGUGCAAGAGCGGUUUAAUUGGCUAGUUUCGAAAACUAUGCGUUGCGAAAGUGACACGGGGGUUCGAAUCCCCCCCUCUCCGCCA